rnacentral:tRNA from 1 species
GGCACUGUGGCGGAGUGGUUACCGCGACGCCCUGCUACCAGCUGGUUCAUCCUGGUACGUCUUCUCAUCCUGGUAAUCGGUAAUUGGUACCUGGGGGGUCCUAUGGUAUUGGUAAUGACGAGGAGAUUGGAUGGACGGCUAUUGUACAGGCGUUUCCUUCGGGAGUCAGAGUUCGAAUCUCUGUGGCGUCG